AAGGAAGCUGAAGAAGAAGCAAAAAGACUAGAGGAAGAAAGACUGGCAAAAGAAGCAGAAAUCCUAAGGGAACAGGAAGCUAAGGCUCUGGCGGAUGCAGAAGCCCAAGCUGCUGCUGAAGCUGAAGCUCAGCAGGCUCUGACUCAGGGGGAGUCUUCAACUGCUAUUCCGAUGAUUCUUCAGACUUUGAAGGACCUUAAGGAAGAUCAGAAUAUCCUCCGAGACAGAAUGGACAAGCAAGAUUCGGUCAAUGAGAACAUCCAGAAGAUGCUUGCCAUGAUCCUGCAGAAAUUGCCUCAGAACCCUUAGGCACUUAGGAUUUUAUGUUUUGCUUGCCUUUUUUUGUUUUUGCUUCUGUCAUCUUUUUGGAUCUGAUGUUUUGUUCUUGAUCUUUUUGAAUCUGAUGCUUUGUGUUUCUAUUUUAAUGAAAUGUUUUUCUCUUUAAGUUAAUUUUUAUUACUAUGUCUUU
rnacentral:lncRNA from 1 species